AUACGUAGGUGGCGAGCGUUGUCCGGAAUCACUGGGCGUAAAGCGCAUGCAGGCGGCCGCACAAGUUGGAUGUGAAAUCUCCCGGCUCAACUGGGAGGGGACGUUCAAAACUGUGCGGCUCGAGGGCGGUAGAGGAAGGUAGAAUUCCCGGUGUAGUGGUGAAAUGCGUAGAUAUCGGGAGGAAUACCCGUGGCGAAGGCGACCUUCUGGACCGUUUCUGACGCUCAGAUGCGAAAGCUAGGGGAGCGAACGGGAUUAGAAACCCCGGUAGUCCUAGCCGUAAACGAUGUCGACUGGGCGUGGGUGGGGUAAAAGCCAUCCGUGCCGAAGCUAACGCGUGAAGUCGACCGCCUGGGGACUACGGCCGCAAGGUUAAA
rnacentral:rRNA from 1 species